rnacentral:lncRNA from 1 species
UCACAAGGGACUUUGUAAACUGAAUCUGAUUGAUGAUAAUUGCAACCUAAAAGAAGAGGAUUUGAAUUUCUGAAGUUUAUGCCAGAACUGACAUCUAUUCUGAUUCCUGUUCCAAUCAGUCCUUCAUUAAAAGUUGCCUGUUUCUGCCAGUAUGCUCUUACUGUUAAAAUUUUGACAGAAUAUAAUGUAGUAAAUUUAUCCUCUGAGAAGGAAAAUCCACGUUCACUUCUCUUUCAAAGGAGAAUUUUUCUGUCUUUGGGUUCUGGCAUUUUCUGUCUCUGGGUUCAAGUGUGUCUGGUUCUAUAGGAAGCUCUUCGUGUGGUGAAGAUCUUACAGAACCUUGAUCCGCCAUUUAGCAUUGAUGGGAAGAUGGUAGCUGUAAACCUGGCCACUGGAAAACGAAGAAAUGAUUCUGGGGACCAUUCUGACCACAUGCAUUACUAUCAGGGUAAAAAAUAUUUCCGAGAUAGGAGGGGAGGU